GAUGAAGAACGUAGCGAAAUGCGAUAAGUAAUGUGAAUUGCAGAAUUCAGUGAAUCAUCGAAUCUAUGAACGCACAUUGCGCCCGCCAGUAUUCUGGCGGGCAUGCCUGUUCGAGCGUCAUUUCAACCAUCAAGCCCCCGGCUUGUGUUGGGGACCUGCGGCUGCCGCAGGCCCUGAAAAGCAGUGGCGGGCUCGCUGUCACACCGAGCGUAGUAGCAUACAUCUCGCUCUGGGCGUGCUGCGGGUUCCGGCCGUUAAACCACCUUCAUAACCCAAGGUUGACCUCGGAUCAGGUAGGAAGACCCGCUGAACUUAAGCAUAUCAAUAAGCGGAGGA
rnacentral:misc_RNA from 1 species